CUCUGCGGGAGGAGAGCAGCAGUGGGGAGAGAGUUUGAAGCAGGUCUGGCCAUGCCACAUGCAUGCUCUCCCUUCUUCUGUCCCCAGUUUCCACCUCAGGACGGGUGGUGAGUAGCUGGAAAACUCCUCUCAGGAUCAUUCCGACCUCCCCAUCGGAGGUGAAGGAUUUGCUGCGUGCUCGCCAGGUAUGGAUCCAGCCAGGACAGAAGUGCUGUCCCUCCCUAAGCCAUUGAUGCUGAUAACGAGCUACAAGCAGCAGAGAUGCCUGAUAUUGAUUAAUCCAGCACCUCUGGCAGGCAUUCAUCACAGCCCAGGGCAGGGCUGGGCCAGAUGGGUCUCAUCCAUCCUCCAGCCCCACGCCUACAGAUCCAGGUCCUCCUUCCUGUCCCACCACCGUCACCAGCAACAUCCCUGGAGGAUGCAGGUCCCUCGGCAUGGCAGUGUCAGCACACAGGAAAGAGGAGAGAAGCUCUCUGGGGGUGCCAGGCUGCAUAACAAGGCUGCCAUCCCAGCAGCCACGUCAGCAUUCCCAAGAGGCAGCGGGCAGGCUGGAAACCCCCAGGGCUCAGCACUGGUGGCGAGGAGAGGAAGGAAAAAGGGCUCGUUCGGAGGUGACAGCCCCACUUAGGUCCUGGCGGUGGUGGAGUGGGUUUCCCAGGGCGGCUAUCAUGGGGUGACCCUUUGCUGCAGUCAGUGGACCCCAGUGCUGCCAAAUCUGGUUCUCUGCUGACAAGAAACCCCCUCCAGCUUUGGCCCCACACAUAUAGCUUCCCACUGCAGCAGUCCAGGGGGUGAUGGCACUAGGGACAUGCCAGAGGGUCAGUCAGGGUAGCUUUUCACAUGCUGGUCAGUCAGCAGCACCCCAGCCCCAGAUGGCUGUCAGUCCAGGUAGGCUCAGUAACUUGGCACAGAGAUGUCUAUGUGCAUGGCAAAAGGACAAAGGGGCUGAAGGAUGAAUCCCACGUGCAUGCUGGCCCUUCUGCUCUCCCCAGUUUCCAGUUCAGGGCAGAUCAGUAGGUGGAGGAUGUCCAAAGGGGCUGGAGUAUGCAUGAGACCCAUCCAGCCCAGUGGGCUCUGUGCCUCCUGCCUUAAGGGCUGAUUCCAGCCCAGCCUCUGCUCCAAAGCCCGCCUGGCUAAGGGCAAAUCCUGUCUGGAGCCUAGCCUGGCCACACCACGAGCAUCCCUGGGAAAGCAGCAUCUCACAUCCAUCCACCCACUGUCUGUGCUGAUGGGCAGCCUCCUCCCACACACUGGGGUCAGCUCAUGUGGAUUAGGGAGGGUCUGCCGUGCCCCCUGCAGCCCCCCACCCCACAUCUCCCUCUCGGGGUGCCCAUGGCCUCUCUCUCACCUGUAGAUCCUGUACCUGGUGGUGAAACCCUGCCGGUACCGCUCCAUGAAGUCCACGUACUCCUGGGCUCGGUAGAAGGGUCCGCGGUCGGUGAGGAGCCAGUCGAGGGGUGCCCGGGUGGAGGGGGAGGAGGAUGAAGAGGAAGGGGUCGAGGGGGCAGCAUGCUGCUGGGGCACUGUGCUGCCCGCCCCGCCAGCCACCCCCCAGCGACAGCACGCGCUCAGGGCCAGCAGGGCCAGCGGCCACGGGAGCAUCGGCGGGGGCCCGUCAGCGUGUGGGAGGUCCUGCCGCCCCAUCCUGCUGCUGUCUGGCAGGAUUCUUCAUUCUCUCACCCCACGGAGAUCCUCCAGGACAGCCCUGCCCUGCAACACGGAGCAGGGAAGCCCAUGAGGACUUGGAUAUAAACCAGGAGCAACCACAAGCUUUGGAAUGCCUGCUGGGAUGCUGACAUGGGGAAAGCUGCGAUCCAGAGAGGGCAUGGACCGGUUGUGCCACAGGAGGAGCAGAUUUAGAGAUACAGAAACUGGGAAGUGUGCACUGGGGAGAGGCAGCAGUGGUAUUUGCCAGGUGCCACGAGGAAGAACAGGAAGAUUCCAGAUGGACUCUGAAACUACCCCCUGUACAUGCUGAGUUGAAGCCCAGAGCAAAAGCGAGACCCAACAUCUGUGCCAGCGAGUUGCAUCCUCGGGCUCGCAUCCGCACGCUCCCAAGGAAGCGCCAGGGCCUCAUUAAUCUGCCGGGGUAAUUAAGAGAGCGAGCCAGGCACCGCCGGAGCGACAGCAGCGUGGUAAUCACUGGCAAAGUGGGCACGGCGGGGUGCUGUCAGCCGCCUGGCACCCGGCCCCGGAGACACGGCUCCAGGCGGCGAGCGUGGGGACAGCCACCUCGGAGCCUUCCGUCCUGCCGGAGCAGGGAUGCCGAAGAUCACGGUGGUGGCUGUGAACUGAUUCUCGCUGGGCUCCCGCAAACCACCCUCCGCAG